AUAAGAGAGGUAAAUAGGGAGCCUACAUCCUGGGAACAAAUCUUUACUCCUCACACUUCAGAUAGAGCCCUAAUAUCCAGAGUAUACAAAGAACUCAAAAAAUUAGACAAUAAGAUAACAAAUAACCCAAUCAUUUACAUUUUUUUUAAAGAGAAAAUUAAAAGAAUUUUUUUUUUUUAGUUUUCUGUGGACCAACAUCUUUAUUUUUUAUUUGUAUGUAGUGCUGAGGAUUGAACCCAGCGCCCCCGCGCAUGCCAGGCCAGUGUGCUACCGCUUGAGCCACAUCCCCAGCCCUCAUUUACUUUUUUUUUUUUUUAAUUUUUUUUUUAGUUGUAGAUGAACACAAUAUCUUUAUUUUUAUUUAUGUGAUGCUGAGGAUCGAACCCGGAGCCUCAUGCGUAUAAGGCAAGUGCUCUACCACUGAGCUACAACCCCAGCCCCCUCAUUUACUUUUAAAGCUGAAGUGUGUACUAAAAAUAUUGGAAUCAAAUUAAAAGAAAACAUUGGAAUUAAAACAGAAAUGGAAUUUUUCUUUCAGUUACAUGAGACACCUAUUAUGGUCACUCUUUUAUUACAUUGAUUUUAAUUUUGGUAGAUAUGGAAGAGCCAAAUAUUAGGCCUUUCACUCUUUCCUGAAUUUUGAUUUUUGUAAAUAUAUUGUCAUUUGUUUAACUUGUUAAAAACUUGGUUCCAGAAGUGUAUAAGCUUGGGAACCUUGAUUUGAAUAUAAAUUCUAGAUUGACAUUAAGCUGGCACAAUUCAUUUUUUUUACAUAAAUACUUAUUUUUUUAAUGUUUAUUUUUUAGUUGUAGUUGAACUAAAACUAUUUCAUUUAUUUAUUCUUAUGUGGUGCUGAGGAUUAAACCCAGGGCCUCGCACGUGCUGGGUGAGCGCUCUAUUGCUGAGCUACAACCCUAGCACCGCCCCCUUUUUUCAAGUGUAUAAUCUAAAUUUUAUUAUAAUGUUGAUCCCAGAUGUGCACCCUUUCAAACAGUAACAAAUGAACCAGCAACAACAUACAUGGAGAAAUCCUUGCAACUAAAC
rnacentral:lncRNA from 1 species